CGCUGGCGGUAUGCUUAACACAUGCAAGUCGAACGAAGCCUUUCGGGGCUUAGUGGCGGACGGGUGAGUAACGCGUGAGAAUCUGGCUUAAGGACGGGGAUAACCACUGGAAACGGUGGCUAAGACCCGAUAUGCCGAGAGGUGAAACUAAUUUAGCCUUGAGGGGAGCUCGCGUCUGAUUAGCUAGUUGGUGGGGUAAGAGCCUACCAAGGCGACGAUCAGUAGCUGGUCUGAGAGGAUGACCAGUCACACUGGGACUGAGACACGGCCCAGACUCCUACGGGAGGCAGCAGUGGGGAAUUUUCCGCAAUGGGCGAAAGCCUGACGGAGCAAUACCGCGUGGGGGAGGAAGGCUCUUGGGUUGUAAACUCCUUUUCUCAGGGAAGAACAAAAUGACGGUACCUGAGGAAUCAGCAUCGGCUAACUCCGUGCCAGCAGCCGCGGUAAUACGGAGGAUGCAAGCGUUAUCCGGAAUCAUUGGGCGUAAAGCGUCCGCAGGUGGCACAUCAAGUCUGCUGUCAAAGGUCGGGGCUCAACUCCGAACAGGCAGUGGAAACUGAAAUGCUCGAGUGCGGUAGGGGCAGAGGGAAUUCCUGGUGUAGCGGUGAAAUGCGUAGAGAUCAGGAAGAACACCGGUGGCGAAAGCGCUCUGCUAGGCCGCAACUGACACUCAGGACGAAAGCUAGGGGAGCGAAUGGGAUUAGAUACCCCAGUAGUCCUAGCUGUAAACGAUGGAUACUAGGCGUUGCUUGUAUCGACCCAAGCAGUGCCGUAGCUAACGCGUUAAGUAUCCCGCCUGGGGAGUACGCACGCAAGUGUGAAACUCAAAGGAAUUGACGGGGGCCCGCACAAGCGGUGGAGUAUGUGGUUUAAUUCGAUGCAACGCGAAGAACCUUACCAGGGCUUGACAUGCCCGGAAUCUUGGGGAAACUCAAGAGUGCCUACGGGAACCGGGACACAGGUGGUGCAUGGCUGUCGUCAGCUCGUGUCGUGAGAUGUUGGGUUAAGUCCCGCAACGAGCGCAACCCUCGUUUUUAGUUGCCAGCAUUAAGUUGGGCACUCUAGAAAGACUGCCGGUGACAAACCGGAGGAAGGUGGGGAUGACGUCAAGUCAGCAUGCCCCUUACGCUCUGGGCUACACACGUACUACAAUGCUAUGGACAAAGGGCAGCAAGUUAGCGAUGACAAGCAAAUCCCAUAAACCAUGGCUCAGUUCAGAUCGCAGGCUGCAACUCGCCUGCGUGAAGGCGGAAUCGCUAGUAAUCGCCGGUCAGCCAUACGGCGGUGAAUACGUUCCCGGGCCUUGUACACACCGCCCGUCACACCAUGGAAGCUGGCCACGCCCGAAGUCGUUACCCUAACCGCUUGCGGAGGGGGACGCCGAAGGCAGGGCUGGUGACUGGGGUGAAGUCGUAACAAGGUAGCCGUACCGGAAGGUGUGGCUGGAUCACCUCCUUUUAGGGAGACCUACCCAACACAAGAAAGUUGUGGUUAAACACAACUUGUGUCAGGUCAACCUAGGUCGGUCGAAGAUUGAUGUGCGGCUUUCAAACUAUAUGACCGGUUCAGGUCAACAGAGUAGGGGCUAUUAGCUCAGGUGGUUAGAGCGCACCCCUGAUAAGGGUGAGGUCCCUGGUUCGAGUCCAGGAUGGCCCACCUGAAAAGAAACUAAUUCCAGAUUACUGCUCCGAGAAAUUAGUUGAAUUAGUCAAACGAAGUUUGGCAAAUUUGUUGACGAUUUUAAAUCAGAGUGAUAAGCUAGAAAAGUUGAAUAAAUUCAGCACUACGGUAGCAAGCUACUGGGAUGCUGGAGAAAUUCCAGCCAGAACCUUGAAAACUGCAUAAUCAUGCCAAUUAAUAAAUUGCAGGUAGGUUUAAUGUAACCGACCGAAAAAGUCAGUUACGUUACCUAAAGCUAAAACAACCAUCAAUGUAGAAAUUGUGGUCAAGCUAAUUAGGGCUGAUGGUGGAUACCUAGGCACACAGAGGCGAAGAAGGACGUGGCAACCGACGAAAUACUCCGGGGAGUUGGAAGCAAGCAGUGAGCCGGAGAUGUCCGAAUGGGGCAACCCAAUAUACUACCGACUGAAUAUAUAGGUCGGCAAGAGCCAACCCAGCGAACUGAAACAUCUUAGUAGCUGGAGGAAGAGAAAGAAAACUCGAUUCCCUAAGUAGUGGUGAGCGAACGGGGAAAAGCCUAAACCAGAAGAUUAAUCUUCUGGGGUAGUGGGACAGCGACAUGGAAUCAGAGUAUUAGACGAAGCAGUUGAACGCUGCACCAGAGAGGGUGAAAGUCCUGUAGUCGAAAAUACAAAGAUACUAGCUGAAUCCCGAGUAGCACGGGGCACGAGAAAUCCCGUGUGAAUCAGCGAGGACCACCUCGUAAGGCUAAAUACUACUGUGUGACCGAUAGCGAAACAGUACCGCGAGGGAAAGGUGAAAAGAACCCCGGGAGGGGAGUGAAAUAGAACAUGAAACCGUCAGCCUGCAAGCAGUGAAGGACGAU
rnacentral:rRNA from 2 species